UCUACUGCUAGCUAGCACUGCAAUGCAAAACAUGUGGUGAGUAGUUGAUUCAAAAAGAGAAAGACUAUAGUUGAACAGUUUUGAUUAAUUUCUUCCAAAAUUAAGAAGCAAGAGAGAGAGAGCUACUGUAUAUUUCGUAGUACAUUUGAUUUCACUUUCACCUAGCUAGCAUCUGGCUCAAACAGAGAGGGAUGCUAUGUUAGCUAGCAGAAUAUACAACACUGGAACUUUUCCAAGUCGAGACCAACAGGAGUGCAUCCCUCAGACCAUCUGGUGCAUGGACAUCCUGUGCCAGUUUGAUCCAGUUGUGGAGACGACAGUACAUCGAGCCUGUGGACGAACAGUGCCAACUUUGGGAGCAUGUGGUCCUUGAAAAACUCUGGUGACGGAGGCUUUGGUGGUCCACACAAUGAAUAAGCAAGUGUCCUUUCCAGUGAUGUGGAGCUGCCCUUAACCUGCUGCCAGUAAGGAUGGUAUUCACGGAGGUUGUAAGACCCUCCCUUCUGGAUAUAGAAAUCCUUCGACUUCACUGCCUCUUCAAUGUUAAUGAUUGUAUAAUUGAUUAAGUGUCUAUUUCCUUGUAGGAUGUUGACAGCCUUUUAGAAAAAUGUUUAUUGUAAAGAUGCUCAAACUUAACUUAAACAUUUUCGGCUAAAAUUAUAUACCCAAAACUAAUUGCCUGUAGCUUAGGCCCUGAAGCAAGGAUAAGCAUAUUCUUGGCACCAUUUGAAAGGAAACACUGACGUUUGUGAAAAUGUGAAAGGAAUGUAGGAGAAUAUAACACUAUAGAUCCGGUAAAAGAUAAUACAAAGAAAAAAACAAAAGGUCUUUUGUAUUUAUUUUGUACCAUCAUCUUUGAAAUGCAAGAGAAAUGCCAUAAUGUAUUAUUCCAGCCCAGGUGCAAUUUAGAUUUUGACCACUAGAUGGUAGCAGUGUAUGUACAACGUUUUAGACUGA